UUAGGAAGAGUGGAUCAAUGUUAUGUUUCUGACUGCUGAUGAGGCAACAAAUGUACCAUUAAAAUUUCUCUCUACUUUGGGCCUUCAUCUUCCAUCUAUCGAGGCAUAAGAUUGUGCAUGUAUAAAGCUGGUUGCAAAAUCCUUCACAAAUAAAAGUAUACCCCAUGAGUGCAUACAAUAGACCACCUUUUCACUUUUGUUGUUCAUAGAUGCAAAGCAAAGGGAAAAAUUGACAGAUAAGAGCCUCAUGAUAGCAGAGAAGUCUUGAUUCAUGAUCUUGGGGAAAAGCUGUCCAAGUCAAGGAUGCUGUCUUCUUCUGGGGAGAAACUUCCCUGGACGUAUAACAUUGGAAAGAAGCAAUUUACUCAUCUAGACUUGGAGAGUCUGGCUCAACAUCAAAUUAAAAUCAUGCUGGUGUUCACGUGAGGGUGCUUUUGUGCAAAGCUGGAGAAGCACGGGAUGUGAAGGGCCUUGCUGGAGGCAGAGCUCUGCAGAUGAACCAGAAGACCGCACCCGAACCCCCGUUCAGCUGCGAGGCAUAAACGCCUUCCCCUGGUUAGGAGCUGAUGCCUCACUGUGAGCUUGGAUGGCAAGUUCAUAGAGGCCAUCCACACGAAUGGGUUUAAUGGGAUUUCUUUAUCAAUUGUUUAAAGAGAGUCUUUAGCGUCCCUCAAUACCCUUUCCAGGAGGAUACACAGAAUAAAUUCCUGCUUGACUUUUAGAUCCCAGAUAA
rnacentral:lncRNA from 1 species